rnacentral:rRNA from 1 species
GGAAGGAUCAUUACCUUUCUUGCCCUUCGGGGCACAGUAGGGGCUAUACUUGCUAUAGCUUCUAUCUGCAUCCUUGUCUUUUGCGUACUACAUGUUUCCUCGGCGGGCUUGCCCGCCGGUUGGACCAUUCUAAACUCUUUGCAAUUGCAAUCAGCGUCUGAAUAAUUAUAAUAAUUACAACUUUCAACAACGGAUCUCUUGGUUCUGGCAUCGAUGAAGAACGCAGCGAAAUGCGAUAAGUAGUGUGAAUUGCAGAAUUCAGUGAAUCAUCGAAUCUUUGAACGCACAUUGCGCCCCUUGGUAUUCCAUGGGGCAUGCCUGUUCGAGCGUCAUUUGUACCCUCAAGCUUUGCUUGGUGUUGGGUGUUUGUCCUGUAUUGGACUCGCCUUAAAGUAAUUGGCAGCCGGCGUAUUGGCCUUGGAGCGCAGCACAAUUUGCGCUUUCAGUCAGUAUAUGUUGGCGUCCAUAAGCCUUUCUCACUUUUGACCUCGGAUCAGGUAGGGAUACCCGCUGAACUUAAGCAUAUC